UAAGUUUAAGUUUUGAAGAUCAAGUUGAGAGCUCACGCUUUUGGUUAUCAUCAGUCAUUGUGAGAAGAUCUGAAGGUCUCAUAAUCUUUGAGAUCACAAGUUCUUUGUUGAGGAGCAAGGAGCAAACUUUUGCCCAAAAAGCUAAAGAGUGGCCAAAUUUUUCAAUGACUUGGAGAUUAAUAUGUAAGAGGUUGUGGAUGAGCGAUUGAGGUGACCGGAGCACCAUGUACAGAUAGGGUCACAAUUACGGCUUCAUUAGUGAUGUUGAUCACCCGAGGUUAAAAUCCGGUCAAGCCAUUAACGAAGAUGGUAUGCGACAAUAUCCGAAACACCAUUAUUUUAUUACAGGUCCCUUAGGACAAUGCCAACCCUAUCAAG